CCUACGUGUGGCAGCAGUGAGGAAUAUUGGUCAAUGGGCGAGAGCCUGAACCAGCCAAGUCGCGUGAAGGAUGACGGCCCUACGGGUUGUAAACUUCUUUUGUCAGGGAGCAAUUGAGUCCACGUGUGGGCUUAGCGAGAGUACCUGAAGAAAAAGCAUCGGCUAACUCCGUGCCAGCAGCCGCGGUAAUACGGAGGAUGCGAGCGUUAUCCGGAGUUAUUGGGUUUAAAGGGAGCGGAGACGGCAGCACAAGUCUGGAGUGAAAUCCCGGGGCUUAACCCCGGAACUGCUUUGGAACCUGUGCGGCUGGAGUGCAGGAGGGGUAAGCGGAAUGCCUAGUGUAGCGGUGAAAGGCGUAGAUAUUAGGAGGAACACCGGUGGCGAAGGCGGCUUACUGGACUGUAACUGACGUUGAGGCUCGAAAGCGUGGGGAGCAAACAGGAUUAGAUACCCGAGUAGUC
rnacentral:rRNA from 1 species